UAGACCAUUUUUGCCAAAUUUGGCAACUUUCCGGUCCGAAUUUAAUGGCGCAAAGUUGAAAUUCGGAUUCAGCGUCAAAAAUUACAUAGGAAUUGAUGAAAACAUUGCUACCCGGGAUUCUUGCAGGCUACAGCCCUUUUCAUGACUUACUUGCCUGGACUAUGAUGAGCCGAGCCGGUGCGAAAAUCGAGUCAGUGGCUGAGACUGCUGAGAGACGGAUUUCUUGCCAACUUUUGUGAAUGAUCGAAUGGCGCCACGUCCCCGUUAGAAGCUAUGGUAAAGAAUCGAUAGUGCGAUAUUCGAAUAGUCGCUUCGAUACGAUAUUCGAUAUUCGCCCAGCUGUAGGAUUCAGCAUGGCGGCCAUGAACAAGAACAAUGCAUUAUUUUCCCGCGCAAUCACGCCGGUGCCCGAAUUCUGGAUCGCUCAGUUAAUUGUAAUGGUUGAAUUUUGAAUUGUAAUUUAUUUAAUUAUUAGCAGUUGAAACUGUCAUCUUCUUUGCUCAUUUAGAAGUAUUUCAUCAAUUCGAGACGAAGAUUUAACCCCAGGGCCAACGAAAAUCAAGAAGAAGCCACGGGAAGUGCGGUGGUGAAACCUGUGAAACCGAAGUUCUGAGUGGAUCUAUACAGAAUGAACUGUUGGAAGAUGGCUUGGAACAUGCGGUCAUGCUGUACACGUGGCGAUGUUGCUCUGGAGCCAUACCGCAAUCAAAGUCCAAUGAGCAGCCGAACUGGGUGGAAAUCUAUGAAAAGACUAUUGAAGUAUUAGCUCCUGAAGUGAACAAGCUGCUUAAUAUCAUGUAUUUUCAGCAAAAAGCUAUUGAAGAUUUUGUGCAGAGGUAAAAAGGCUGUGCCAUGCUGUAAAGAGGAAGGAUUGCGCUGGAAGCCUACUUGCUCACCCUAGGAAAAUUUAUCAAUAUGUUUGCGGUGCUGGAUAAGCUGAAAAACAUGAAAUCCAGUGUGAAAAAUGAUUAUUCUACCCAUCACCGUGCCACCCAGUUCUUGAAAGUUAUGGCAGAUUCACUCACCCUGCUGGAGUCGCAGAAUUUAUUCAUGUUUCUCUCUACACAGAACAAAAUUCGAGACACAGUGAAAGAUAAUUUGGAAAAAAUAAUCGGUUACGAAGAGCGUCUGUCCUAUAUUGUCAAUCUGUGCUUGCACAUGUUCGAAACAAGAAUGCAGCUUACACCCACCGACAAGCGCAUGCUGGUUAAAGAGAAAUAAGAAUCAGUUCCGAAGAGCAGCCGCCAUCCACAGACACAUCGAGAACUGGUAAAUGAAAGUAUCUACAACACCAGAACUUGGCAACCACAAAAAUACAGGUUUUAUUUUAACUUUAUCGGAUGGAUAAAGAAAAGGAGGGCACAGUAAUUAAUUUCAAGAUGCAGUAGAUUAAACGGGAUGGCGGCUCUUCCUGCGUUGUUACCUUGCACGUUUUUUUUUUCAUUCACUGAUGCAGUAGAUUAAACGGGAUGGCGGUGUUCCUGCGACGAGCCUGAUAACUAAACGUUUGAAGCAGGCAGCCUAGAACACAUGUCUUGAAAGAAAAUGCCAAUGGACUACUAGACAAGGUACGAAUUUCAGCAUUCUGAUACAUGUUUCUCAACCAAAAUUUCACGUAGAACAUGAUACGCACAACGAAAAUUACCAAAAUCAACUCCUGACGAAGAUAUUUAAUGCUUCUUGAUGCGUGAAUUCAAACCACCCGCUCAUGAAAACUCAAUGCUCUACGUGAUUCACAUCGCGCGCUAAAUGUUUAUCAUGACAGUCUCUGCGAUUUAAAAAUCUUCAACUUCAAUCUUGACACUUUGGCUCAGCUAUAGCAAAUUACCAAUAGUUUGAACAACACAUGGUGGAAAAUAAACAUUGCUCGAUUGAGAAGCUCGUUGAAACC